GAGUCUUAACCGGGCGUUAAGUUGCAGGGUAUAGACCCGAAACCCGGUGAUCUAGCCAUGGGCAGGUUGAAGGUUGGGUAACACUAACUGGAGGACCGAACCGACUAAUGUUGAAAAAUUAGCGGAUGACCUGUGGCUGGGGGUGAAAGGCCAAUCAAACCGGGAGAUAGCUGGUUCUCCCCGAAAGCUAUUUAGGUAGCGCCUCGUGAAUUCAUCUCCGGGGGUAGAGCACUGUUUCGGCUAGGGGGCCAUCCCGGCUUACCAACCCGAUGCAAACUGCGAAUACCGGAGAAUGUUAUCACGGGAGACACACGGCGGGUGCUAACGUCCGUCGUGAAGAGGGAAACAACCCAGACCGCCAGCUAAGGUCCCAAAGUCAUGGUUAAGUGGGAAACGAUGUGGGAAGGCCCAGACAGCCAGGAUGUUGGCUUAGAAGCAGCCAUCAUUUAAAGAAAGCGUAAUAGCUCACUGGUCGAGUCGGCCUGCGCGGAAGAUGUAACGGGGCUAAACCAUGCACCGAAGCUGCGGCAGCGACACUAUGUGUUGUUGGGUAGGGGAGCGUUCUGUAAGCCUGUGAAGGUGGCCUGUGAGGG
rnacentral:rRNA from 1 species